AAAUUAUUAACCACAAAUUAUAAACUAAAACAAUGAUAACUAAGCCUUGAUAAGCAUGUUAUUCUCAUGGCAUGAUGCACCUGUUUGUGAUUAGUGUGAUCUGCUGGGGACUUUACAGCCUUUUGUUAAGGUUACUGUAUGAUUAGCUUCCAUUGUAUGAGGAAAAUCCACAGUGAUGUGGAUCUAUUGAAAUGAUUAAGUUUUUUUAUAUUUUUCCUAUUGUUUUAAAACUACAUAUUAUAUUUCUUCACUGGGCAGAAAAUCACAGAAUGCUACAAGUUCAAAAUCUAUUACACAGAAAGAGGUACUCAAAUGAAUUUCCAAAGUAUUGCAGGGGAAGGAUCCGAGAUGGCUUUAGGAAAUACAAGGAAAGCCAGUAUCCUCCUUGUACGCAAGCUCUACACCCUGAUGCAGAACCUUGGGCCUCUGCCGGAUAGUGUCUCCAUCAACAUGCAACUCUCAUACUAUGAUGAGGGUUGAUGGUGAUGAGCUCAGCAACAGAGAUCAUCUGGCCCUGAAGAAUGAGGAAGAGGAACAGAUGCCAGAGGAUGCCGUUCAUAAUGACAUGGAAUGUGUUGAAAAUUCAGAUGUGACUUACCGGAAAAAGACUGAAGUACGAGCUGAGAUACUGGACCCGCCCAAAUCCCAGAAAGCUGCUGGUCCAGAUGACGUUGUGAAGAGAACCAGAAGUGGCCGCAUCAUCAGAUCAUCAGCAAAGAAGACUGAGACAGACCCACUCAACGGAAGCAAUAAGACACCAGCAAAUGGGAGAAAUAUGAUGUCCCAUUUGGAGUUUCCUCCAAGUCAAGAUGCUCAACCGGCUUUUCCAAAAAAGAGGAAGUUCAGUGAAACAAAAGACUGCUUCUAAAAAUGUCCCAUUUUCCUAGUGGGUCCAAGUCAUGUUUAGCGUAGUCAUUGCAGGACUGAAAAUUAGAUUUCAACUUCUAUAUGUUUUAAACAUCUUGUUUUUUGGUUAUGUACAGUAUUCCUGUUAAAAGUCUGCUCGCUCAAAAUUGCUACAUGCUUUUUUGUUUAUAUCUUUAAAGGAAGGUUUCCCGUUCAGAAACUAUCUCAUUGACAUUUUAAUUUAUUGAAAUUAAUGUGUUUCUUGACUGUUUAUUGUAAAUUUUUUAACAUGUUACCAAAGUAAAAACAAAUCAGUCCAUCACCCCGAUUUCAUUCUUGUGUCUCGGCAUCUGAUGAUGGUAUGUACAGUACACUAAGUCUCAGGUCGUGGUCCAUUCAGGACCAGA
ensembl:lncRNA